UAACCGCAUAACUAUAGUUCACAUCCGGUGGGUCAUCGCGGCGAAGAACUGCGGGUCGAACAGCACUGCGAUCAACGGACAAACACCAGAGUCCACAGACUUGAGCGAGGUUAAGUAAUGCCAGCAUUCCACAGCAGAUAUCACCGAUUCCCCGAAUUCCAAUCAAUGUACUCACCAAGAGCCUUCAUGUAGUCAUCGAAUCCUUCGGACUUCUCCAUCUUGUACUUCUUUCCAACCCAGGCUGCCAUUGUUGAAGAUGUAAUUUAAAUGUCGUU